UACGUAGGGUGCAAGCGUUAAUCGGAAUUACUAGGGCGUGAACGUGCGCAGGCGGUUAUGUAAGACAGUUGUGAAAUCCCCGGGCUCAACCUGGGAAUUGCAUCUGUGACUGCAUAGCUAGAGUACGGUAGAGGGGGAUGGAAUUCCGCGUGUAGCAGUGAAAUGCGUAGAUAUGCGGAGGAACACCGAUGGCGAAGGCAAUCCCCUGGACCUGUACU
rnacentral:rRNA from 1 species